ACUCUCCAUGAUUUUCCAACAAUAAAUAGUUUCUUACUUUAUUUGCCAUAAAUGUAUCUUUCACAUACAUCAAGUAUAUUAAUUUUAGGUAAUCUGUAAACCUUUUCUUUUUAAUUUAACAACUUUAAACCUUUAAUGUUAAUGUGUCCAUAUCUCAAAUGUCAUAAAUUUAUCUCAUUCUUUUAAUUUACAACAAGAGCAUGUUUCUUAAUAUUUGAAACAUCAAUUGGAAACAUCUUAUUUUAUAUUAUUCAAACAUUUGCUAUAAUCAAACCAGAUUUCUUAUCUUUAAUAAUACAUAGACAAUUAUCAAAUAUAACUGAAUAUCCAACAUCUAUCAAUUGUCCAACACUCAACAAGUUAUAUGAUAAAUUAGGAAUGUGAAAAAUAUUAUUAAGGUGUUUUACCUUCUCUUGAUUUGUCUCCCCUCAAUUGUUCUUUUUCCUUCCACUUGGAUUUAUUUGCUAUCUCCAAGUUUAACAUUCAACUUGUGAGUCUCAUAAAUAUCUUUGAAUACGAUGAAAGCAUUCUACUGGGCCGACACUGACACUGAGAGACGAAAGCUAGGGGAGCAAAUGAGAUUAGAUACCUUAGUAGUCCUAGCCGUAAACGAUGGAUACUAGGCGAUGUGCGUAUCGACCCGUGCAGUGUUGUAGCUAACGCGCUAAGUAUCCUGCCUGGGGAGUACAUUCGCAUGAAUGAAACACAAAGGAAUUGACGGGAGCCCGCACAAGUGGUGGAGCAUGUGGUUUAAUUCGAUGCAAAGCGAAGAACCUUACCAGGACUUGAUAUGCCGUGAAUCCUCUUGAAAGAGAGGGGUGCCUUCGGGAACGCGGACACAGGUGGUGCAUGGCUAUCGUCAGCUCGUGCCGUAAGGUGUUGAGUUAAGUCCCACAACGAGCGCAACCCUCGUGUUUAGUCGCCACCAUUGAGUUUGGAACCCUGAAUAGACUGCCAGUGAUAAGUCGGAGGAUGUGAGGAUGAUGUCAAGUCAUCAUGCCCCUAAUGCCCUGGGCGACACACGUGCUACAAUGGCCGGGACAAAGGGUCGUGAUCCCGCGAGGGUGAGCUAACCCCAAAAACCCGUCCUUAGUUCGGAUUGCAGGCUACAACUCGCCUGCAUGAAGCCAGAAUCGCUAGUGAUCGCCGGUCAGCCAUACGACGGUGAAUUCAUUCCCGGGCCUUGUACACACUGCUUAUCACACUAUGGGAGCUGGCCAUGCCCGAAGUCGUUACCUUAACUACAAGGAGGGGGAUGCCGAAGGUGGGGCUAGUGACUGGAGUGAAGUCGUAACAAGGUAGUCGUAUUGGAAGGUGCGGCUG
rnacentral:rRNA from 1 species